ACAUCCUGGGGCUGGAGAAGGUCCCAAGGGUUGGGCUGUUCGCCCAUUAAAGUGGCACGCGAGCUGGGUUCAGAACGUCGUGAGACAGUUCGGUCCAUAUCCGGUGUAGGCGUUAGAGUAUUGCGAGGAUCUCUUCUUAGUACGAGAGGACCGGAAGAGACGUACCUCUGGUGUACCAGUUAUUGUGCCAACAGUAAACGCUGGGUAGCCAUGUAUGGUAAGGAUAACCGCUGAAAGCAUCUAAGUGGGAAGCCCACCUCAAGAUGAGUACUCUUACCAUCAUAGAAUGGUUAAGGUCACGGCAAGAUUAGCCGUUUGAUAGGU
rnacentral:rRNA from 1 species